GACGAACGCUGGCGGCGUGCCUAAUACAUGCAAGUCGAACGCAGGGGGGACGGGUGAGUAACACGGGGGUAACCUCCCAUCAGAGGGGAUAACACUUGGAAACAGGGGCUAAACCGAUACUGAUGGAUGGACCCGCGGUGCAUUAGCUAGUGGGUGAGGUAACGGCUCACCAAGGCAACGAUGCAUAGCCGACCUGAGAGGGUGAUCGGCCACACCGGGACUGAGACACGGCCCAGACUCCUACGGGAGGCAGCAGUAGGGAAUCUUCGGCAAUUGACGAAAGUCUGACCGAGCAACGCCGCGUGAGUGAAGAAGGUUUUCGGAUCGUAAAGCUCUGUUGUUAGAGAAGCGGUAUCUUACCGGAAAGCCCCGGCUAACUACGUGCCAGCCGCCGCGGUAAAAC
rnacentral:rRNA from 1 species